UGGGGAAUAUUGCACAAUGGGGGAAACCCUGAUGCAGCGACGCCGCGUGAAGGAAGAAGUAUUUCGGUAUGUAAACUUCUAUCAGCAGGGAAGAAAAUGACGGUACCUGACUAAGAAGCCCCGGCUAACUACGUGCCAGCAGCCGCGGUAAUACGUAGGGGGCAAGCGUUAUCCGGAUUUACUGGGUGUAAAGGGAGCGUAGACGGUAUGGCAAGUCUGAUGUGAAAGGCCGGGGCUCAACCCCGGGACUGCAUUGGAAACUGUCGGACUGGAGUGCCGGAGGGGUAAGCGGAAUUCCUAGUGUAGCGGUGAAAUGCGUAGAUAUUAGGAGGAACACCAGUGGCGAAGGCGGCUUACUGGACGGUAACUGACGUUGAGGCUCGAAAGCGUGGGGAGCAAACAGGAUUAGAUACC
rnacentral:rRNA from 1 species